AGGGGCGAGGUCUCGCCCCAGCCCGGUGAAUGGGGCUAGGAGGGGGGAAGAGGAUGGAGGAGGAAAAAAGGGGUGGGGAGAAGAAGGAAACCAAACAAACCAACCCACCCCGCGGGAGAGGCAGAGCUACAGUGGAGGCGGCGGGGGCCCCAACGCCCGCAGAAACGCGCCCCGGGACCGGCCCGUCCAUCCAGCCCGGGAGCGGAGCCCACGGGCGCGCGGCAUCCUCCGCCCGCCCACGCCGCACCGGCUUCAGUCCUGAAAACUGAGGGUCGGCCCGCGGCGGCUGACUGUGGGAUCACCCUGGACUCGAGGAAACUGCCGGGUCAGUGUUCAGUAUUCAGACCACAGAUCCAUGACUCACCAAUAAACCACCUGCAUAAAUGAACACAGUGGAUCUCAUCUGCUGCUGGCUAUUACCCUACCUCUUGAUUCUUAUUCUGUUCUGCAUCCGGAAAUUCCAUUUUCAUUUGAGGAGGUCCUGGUAAGCACGUGGAACUAACAAGCCACCACCAACCAGAAGAAUUCGGGAAAGGUCAAAAGGAGACGCCAGCCCGUGUGUCCUACCAACCUCCCAGAAUCCUCCUCGCUGGAAUCCAGCUUGGCUGAGCCAUGCGUGCACCACCAGGAAGGACCCUGAGUCAGAAUGAUUGGCCGGAGACUAACCCAGAAAUUAAUCCCAUCACCAUAAAACCCGGGACUGUGAGCCACGUGGCACAGCAGUCCUCCUGGGUUCCCUUUCCCUCCUGCUCUCCACGCGGGUGCUCCUUCCCACUAAAGUCUCUUGCUUUGUCAGCACGUGUGUCUCCUCCGACAAUUCAUUUCCGAGUGUUAGACAAGAGCCCACUCUUGGGCCCUGGAAGGCAUCCCCCUUCCUGCAACAAAUACAGAAAAAACUCCACAGGAAUUCACAGCAGAACCAAACUUCCGGUGGCAUAGGAAGGCCCUGAGGGUGGCCUUGGUGACUGAUGGGUCAUAAUCACCCUGCUUAAUGUUCACUCAGAGAUUUAGGUGUGUUUUCGUGUUAUUAUACUAAUUACCAAGGCAGUAAUUUCCAAUUAAAGCCACAAGGGGUUUUGACCUCUCAAAAAUGAUUGACAUGGCUUUGGAGAUCUAUUUUUGUCCUGCUUUCUCAAGUUCAUGUUCUUUGUGGUAGCCAACAAGGAAAAUACCACGCUGCCACAAGUGUAAUUUUAUAAGCUCUAUGUUAUCCGUGACACUUGGGCUGUCGUGAUGCUGACAUGCUGAGAAGCAAACCUUUGAUUUACCUAAUGUAAUUUUGUGCUUUAAGCAUUGGGGUUAUCUGCCUAGGGCUUUACUCUUUGAUAUAGUUAACUUUUUUUGGUAUGCCUUCUUAAGUUUCAAUGUAAAUUUUAAUGAGUCAGAAAUCUUGCCUGAGACCAAAACCUCGAUAAUAUUAUAUGUGCUGGUGAAGUCAUGAGAGUGACCUUCAGAUUUCUGUGGGCAGGUGGUUUGUAAAGGAGGAGGGUUAGUUUUAACCUUAACCCCCCUAGAACCCUUAUGGAAAACAUGUGGUAAAUCAAGUAGGGCAUGUUAGGUGUUGCAUUUCAGCUGUGGAGUGAUAUCUAAUACCAAGUCAGCAUUUGUUGUUUACUCUGGAUGUACUACUGUAUUAAGUAGUUAAGAACAAGUCUUCUCUCAAAUAUCCCCCUCAGAUAAUUCAUUAAUUACAACAGGAAAAAAAUGGUAACUUUACAGUGGGGAGACCUGACAGGUACCACCAUCACCAGCGAACCCGACAUCCUCAGCGAUGGCGUUGUUGACCGCCAUGAAGUUCUGCCAGAGAUGCCAUGGGAAGUGCACAGCCUCACCUGGGUAAUAUUCCUACCAAAGAAUGGUUAACCUGAAUCUAAUCAUGAGGAAACAAGCAGACAAAACCAGAUUGUGGGACACUCUGUUAGGCAAUUGGCUCGGACUCUUCAAAAAUGUAAUGUUGGAAAAGAUUAAAAAAAAAAAGUGGGUAAAUGCUCCCAAUUAAAAGAGAAAGAGACCUGGCAGCUGGAGGAUAAGAUGCUGAAGGAAACUGAAGGAAAGGACAGUAGACGGAAGGGGAGGGGAGGAAGGAAAAAACUAUCUAUAAAAGAUAUUUGGGGGGAAGUUGGAGAAAUUUGAAUAUAAUCUUUAUUUGAUUAUCCUUUUGGUGUUAAAUUCCUUGAAUCUGAUCAUUAUGAAGGAGAAUGUCUUUGCUCUUAGGAGAUACAUAAUGAAACAUUUUAGAUGUGAAAUGUCCUGAGGUCUGCAAACUUUCAAGUGCUCAAGACAAAAGUAAACAUAGAAAGAAUAAGAGAGAAAUAAACAUGGCAAAAUGUUAAUUGGUGAGUGUAGGUGUAGGCAAUAUGUGUGUUCAUUGUGUUAUUCUUUCAAUGUAUCUGUCUAAAGUUUUUCAAAACAAAAAAGAGGGAGACAAGGGAAGUCUAUUUGAGGGAAAUUAUUAUAGAAAUCUGGAACAAAAACAAGAAGUAAGAAAACAUACAUGCAUACAACUUAGCUGUGAUGCCUCAGAGGAAUAAAGCCCAGGACGGGGGACAGACCGUGGAGUAGGAGUCACAAAGCUUGUGUUCUGGUGUGUCCUCGGCCAUCACCCUCCCUGGGAUCAUGGGAAGUUUGCCUAACUCUGUAUUCAUUUCCUAGGUCUGCUGUAACAAGUGCCACAAACUACACGGCUUGAAAAAAACAGAAAUGUAUUGUCUCACAGUUCUGGAGGCUGAAGUAUGAAAUCAAAGUGUUGGCAGGGUCAGGCUCCCUCUGAAAUCCAGAGAGAAGCAUCCUUCCUCUCCUCUUGCUCGGUUCUGGGGGGUUGCCAGCAGUCCUAGGCACUCUCAGCUCGCAGCUGCAGCCCUUCAAUCUCUUCCACCGUCUGUUACAUGGUGUUCCUCCCUCGUGUGUCUGUCCCAGUAUCCCUCCUCCUCUAGUAAGGACAGCAGUUGUAUUGGAUUAGGGUCACCCUAGUGACCUCAUCUGAAGCUUGAUUACAUCUGCGGAGACUCUGUUUCCAAAUAAGUUUGCAUUCACAAGUGCUGGGGUUAAGGCUUCGACAGAUCUUUUCAGGGGAUACAAUUCAACCCAUAACACUCUCCAUCCUCGUUUCUCCAACUCCCAACAGGUGUGGGGUAUGUGGUGGAGCUGGUCUACCAGAAAGCACUCUGAGGUCCCUUCAGCUCAGAGAGUCUGAGGCUCCAAGUAUCCACCAUUCUAAGUGCAGAAUUAGUCAUCCUUGGACAACUAAGGAGCCCAAGAGAGAAUGAUUAGAAGGAAGUUCCAGGUCAUUAUAAAACAGAUAAGAAACAUGGUCUUUGGAAACAUGAUUCAUGUACAUUCUUGGCAUAGCAGGCUAUUUUGCUCAUCACAGUCACCUUUCUGGUUUUCAUUUUUAUUUGUUGAAUGAUUGUUGGUUAAAAGUUUUCUAAGCUGAAUUCCCAUCCUGUUACCCAUAAAAUUACAUAAAAUGAGUUGCUAGAGUUAAAAAAAACAUAACUUUCACAUCACAACUGAUUUUAGAUGUUGGCUAGGCUGCCAGCUGGAGCAGAUUAACAAGGAAAAUCAAGACUCCUCUCUCUGUCUUUGUCCUUCAGGCUAAAAAAAGGCAAGAUAAGAAGAGAGGACGCUCUGUAAUGAAUAAGGGUGUUCGUGCCUCCUGCUGGGUCAGCCCUGGGUAUCUGGAGGAGGAGACCCUUUGAGGCCCUGGGGGUGGGUUCUGGCUGGGAGGAGAAUUGCAAGUGGAGGGGUGGGGGCAGCAUAAAUGGAGAUGAGAACUGUCUACACUCUCUCCUGAUGUUCCUGUCCUUCAAAGAGAAAACUGUGUCACAGCCCGGGAAGGGGAAAGCACUGAUCACUGAGUUGAAAGAGGACAUUUUCCCAGAGUUCUAGGCCCACAGUCCUCAGUGUGACAUGUGUACAAAGAUGCAUCUGCCUCCCUCUUGCGUCUCCCUCCACAUGACCUAAGGUGGACACCAGAUAUGUAAACAAGGACAGGGCAGUGUCCCAUCUGGAAAUCUCUGACUCGUGUGCCAAAAACCUCAGCAAAAUGGAAUCUUCUCCAAAAUUAAAUAGUGCUAUUUUUUUCCUGGCUUUCAGAAAUUAUUUAGAUAAACAAUGGGUAAUUUAAUUAUAAUGUUAUUAUGAAAGCCGGUCCUGUCACCUGCUGCCAACGCAAGGUAAAAACACUGGGAAUUCACACUGUGUUGUUAUUAUUCUGGUCUUUCUUUGCCACUCCUUCAGCAAUGGGAGUUAUGGAUUUGUCAGCAUUUCCAUUAUUACCUCUUAUUUUCAAGGCUUCUGUCUUAGUUGCUGAAAUUGCAUUGUACUGGAUGGAAGCCUAGAGGUAAUUUCCUUUAGUGUUAUAGCAGCUGCAUUCUUUCAUGGUUGUGUGUGACUGUGCAAGUGAUUUCAAUAUCUUUUUAUUAAAAAAUU